AUUGAACGCUGGCGGCAUGCCUUACACAUGCAAGUCGAACGGUAACAGGCCGCAAGGUGCUGACGAGUGGCGAACGGGUGAGUAAUGUAUCGGAACGUGCCCAGUCGUGGGGGAUAACUGCUCGAAAGAGCAGCUAAUACCGCAUACGACCUGAGGGUGAAAGCGGGGGAGUCGCAAGACCUCGCGCGAUUGGAGCGGCCGAUAUCAGAUUAGGUAGUUGGUGGGGUAAAGGCCCACCAAGCCAACGAUCUGUAGCUGGUCUGAGAGGACGACCAGCCACACUGGGACUGAGACACGGCCCAGACUCCUACGGGAGGCAGCAGUGGGGAAUUUUGGACAAUGGACGCAAGUCUGAUCCAGCCAUGCCGCGUGCGAGAAGAAGG
rnacentral:rRNA from 1 species